GCUUACGGCCAUACCAGCCCAAGAAAACCCGGUCUUGUCUGAUCUCGGAAGCUAAGAAGGCUUGGGCCGGUUUAGUACUUGGAUGGGAGACCUCCUGGGAAUACCAGGUGCUGUUAGCU
ensembl:rRNA 5S_rRNA 5S ribosomal RNA